UGGCAGUAGCACUUGAGCAUCGCUAGGUGCGAAGUGUGCCAUGGAUCACUCGUGGGACUGGUGACUCACAUUAGGUGCAUAGUGGCCGGUAGUGAUACGUGUGACUCAGUAGAGCAUGUCGUGUAGGACGACGACGGCGGGUAGUACUUGGAGACGACCCAUGCCUGGACCAUUUGUGGACUGUGGAGCCUGGGCCCAUUGGGCAGGCGCAGUCAGC
rnacentral:lncRNA from 1 species